UAUCUCAGAAAAAACAUCCUUUACUAGCUGUUAGACUCAAAUUAAGACUAACUUGACCGACUUGAUGCAACUUCUUUCACAGAAUCAUGGAAUCAUAGAAUGGCCUGGAUUGAAAAGGACCAUAAUCAUCAUCAAGUUUCAACCCCCCUGCUAUGUGCAGGGUCACCAACCACCAGACCAGGCUGCAUCCAGAGCCACAUCCAGCCUGGCCUUGAAUGCCACCAGGGAUGGGGCAUCCACAGCCUCCUCGGGCAACCUGUUCCAGUGUGUCACCACCCUCUGGGUGAAAAACUGCCUCCUAAUAUCUAACCUAAGCAUCCCCUGUCUCAGUUUAAGUCCAUUCCCCUUUGUCCUAUCACUAUCCACCUUCAUAAACAGCCAUUCCCCCUCCUGUUUAUAUGCUCCCUUCAAGUACUGGAAGGCCACAAUGAGGUCUCCCCGGAGCCUUCUCUUUUCCAAAGUGAACAUGCCCAAUUCCCUCAACCUUUCCUCAUAGGAGAGGUGCUCCAGCCCUCUGAUCAUCUUAGUGGCACACCUCUGGACCCGCUCCAAGAGCUCCACAUCCUUCCUGUACUGGGGGCCCCAGGCCUGGACGCAGUACUCCAGAUGGGGCCUCACAAGAGCUGAGUAGAGGGGCACAAUCACCUCCCUCUCCCUGCUGGCCACCCCUUUUUAAUGUAGCCCAGAACACAGUUGGCCUUCUGAGCUGCAAGCGCACACUGCUGGCUCAUGUCCAGCUUCUCAUCUACCAGGACCAGCAAGUCCUUCUCCGCAGGGCUUCUCUCAAGAAGAUCUUCCCGCAGUUGGUAUAAAUACCUGGGAUUGGCCCAACUGGAGUGCACUUGGCCUUACUGAACCUCAUUAGGUUUUCAUGGGCCCACUUCUCCAGCCUGUCCACGUCCCUCUAGAUUGCCUCCCUUCC
ensembl:lncRNA